rnacentral:tRNA from 1 species
GAGGGCAUAGCUCAGUGAUAGAGUGCAUGCCUAGCAUGCACUGGGAUCUGGGUUCAAUCCCCAGUACCUCCA